AUAACCAAUAUUAGUUUUCUUUUGAACAAGCAGAAUCAUAUUUUGUACCAAUACAGAGUCACCAUGGAGAAAAAUCAAGAUUUAUUCAAUACUGGACAGAAAAAUAAAUUUCAAGUACAUUUCUCGUCCGCACUUCUCUUGCCGGUGAUAGUGAAGCGGCGAAACAUUAUCCUCUGUAAAACGACUAAGGAGACAAAUAUCAAUCAUAGGAAUCGAAAAGUAGAUAUUCAUGGAACCCCUUCUUCAUCACUUAACAAAUAUAAUGUCUGUUCAGAAAUACAUCUGAUUUUAGGAAAGCUAAACCCUUCUUUGCAUCAAUCAAUACGCUUAAGAAACUAUUUUUCUUUCCGUUAACCUUUUCACUUGAAAAUUGGUUAAUCUGUCAAUUUUGGACUGCUAAAACAUCCACAAAUCUGAUUGGAUUUGGCCCAUUUAGACCUAAUUUUUUUUUAAAGAACAAAAGGCUCAAAAUAUAAAUAAAAAUAAAAAUACCCAAUCCCAAACAUGUGGUUAUCAUCUUCUUCCUUCUUGCCUUCUUCCACCUGCGGCUCAUAUGAUUCAAGUCUGCUGCUCCCCGACAAAAAAUGUAAAUUCCAACGAAGCCAGCACUCGCGGUCACGCCCCUCGUCGGGUGCUAGCUCUGCCACUGGUUGCCGACGUGGAGCCGGAGGUGAUGUUGAUGAAUUUAGGGAGAAUAUAAAGUUUGGGUUGGGUUGAAUUAGGUUGCGUGGGCGUGAUGGGGAUUGGUGAAGGGGGUGGGCGUGGGGGUUAUAAUUUUUGUUUUGU
rnacentral:lncRNA from 1 species